rnacentral:tRNA from 1 species
GGGAAUGUAGCUCAGUGGUAGAGCACUUGUCAGAAUGUGUAAGGCCCUGGGUUCAAUUCCCCAGUCUCA